rnacentral:rRNA from 1 species
UACGUAGGGCGCAAGCGUUAUCCGGAAUUACUGGGCGUAAAGAGCUCGUAGGUGGUUUGUCGCGUUGUUCGUGAAAACUCACAGCUCAACUGUGGGCGUGCGGGCGAUACGGGCAGACUUGAGUACUGCAGGGGAGACUGGAAUUCCUGGUGUAGCGGUGGAAUGCGCAGAUAUCAGGAGGAACACCGGUGGCGAAGGCGGGUCUCUGGGCAGUAACUGACGCUGAGGAGCGAAAGCGUGGGGAGCGAACAGG